ACACUGUGGCAGAUCGAGCAAUGUCAAUUAUCGCAUAGAUUUUAUAAACUGAGUGUUUUUGUAGGAACGGAUGGAAACGUUGUUACUUUCUUGGAUUUACAUGUACUAUCAUUUAUCUACUGUGUUGGAUGUAGUGUCGCCGGGGUUUUCAAGAUGAUGCAGACGUUAUGCACUCUGGAUGAACGACACAAACGGGCUAUAUAACUCUAAAUUGUUGUUUAACCAACAAUCAAAAUACCCCUAAUAAUAAGAAUUUAAAAAAAAAUGUAGCUAUUUUCAUUUAUAUUCUCCUUCUUCUAUUUUUUGCAUUUAUUACAGAACUCAUAUAGAUCAAGGAGCAAUUUAUCAGAGGAAUCAGAAAAAUAUUUACCAGAUGUUUCAAGAAGAUGAAGGGGUCGUGGAAGACGAAUUCUACCAAGUCAGAUUCCUGCAGCUAGGAGUAGAGGUCGCCGUGGCGCCGGGAGAGGGGGGUAGAAGAGGAAGAGCUUACCAAGGACCGAACAGUGUGGAAUUGGCAGCAAGAGCAAGAGAGGAAAGAGAAGAAUUGCAUUUCGUCACUAGACACCUUUGAUCUCAGGGAUGCCUUAAAAUUAGUGUGCUCCAAGCAACCUUUAUUUAUGCUCGACAUCCUCCAGACAAUCCAUGGUGAAAAUCCAAAACCCCAUCACACUACAGUCACAGUCCCAAGUUGAUGCAUUUGCUCAAAUUGUAGAGAAAUGCCAUCAGAGAGAGAAAAGGAUUUUCAACCUGUUGUCCUUGAUGAGCUUGUGUUGGAAGUGGCGAUGCGAUACCACAAUGAUGUUCUUGCAGAGCCAAGAGACGAAAACUUUAAUCGAUCAUGAAGACAUACAGCUUAUAUGCAAUAUAUUAUGUGGAUUCAUGGUAAUCUUGGUGCAGGCAAUAGAAAGGUGAUUCCAAGCUGAUGUGUUUGGGAAAUAAGGGAAAAGUUUCAAAUAAAAACAACAAAUCAAAUAAAUCUGAACAUUU
rnacentral:misc_RNA from 1 species